CCCAGACUCCUACGGGAGGCAGCAGUGAGGAAUAUUGGUCAAUGGGCUUACGCCUGAACCAGCCAAGUCGCGUGAGGGAUGACGGCCCUACGGGUUGUAAACCUCUUUUGUCGGGGAGCAAAGAGAGUCACGUGUGACUCAUUGAGAGUACCCGAAGAAAAAGCAUCGGCUAACUCCGUGCCAGCAGCCGCGGUAAUACGGAGGAUGCGAGCGUUAUCCGGAUUUAUUGGGUUUAAAGGGUGCGUAGGCGGAAUGCCAAGUCAGGGGUAAAAUCGCGGGGCUCAACCUCGCUCCGCCGUUGAAACUGGCGUUCUUGAGUGGGCGAGAAGUAUGCGGAAUGCGUGGUGUAGCGGUGAAAUGCAUAGAUAUCACGCAGAACUCCGAUUGCGAAGGCAGCAUACCGGCGCGCAACUGACGCUCAUGCACGAAAGCGUGGGUGUCGAACAGGAUUAGAUACCCUUGUAUU
rnacentral:rRNA from 1 species